rnacentral:rRNA from 1 species
UACGUAGGGUGCAAGCGUUGUCCGGAAUUAUUGGGCGUAAAGAGCUCGUAGGCGGUCUGUCGCGUCUGCUGUGAAAACUCAGGGCUUAACCCUGAGCUUGCAGUGGGUACGGGCAGACUAGAGUGCGGUAGGGGAGACUGGAAUUCCUGGUGUAGCGGUGAAAUGCGCAGAUAUCAGGAGGAACACCGGUGGCGAAGGCGGGUCUCUGGGCCGUAACUGGACGC